GGCCCUAAAAAGACAAAAGCAAAACAGAACAAACAAACAAGAAAAACCAUAUAUUUGGAUCCACCAUUGUAAGGCACUGUGUUACAUUCUGUGAAGAAUCCAGAGGUGAGUGUGGCCCAGUUUCUGCCUCUAAGGAAUUUAGGCUUGAGUCGGUGAGGAUAAAAAAAUCACCCCCAUUUCUCUCGAAAGCUAGAUCCUAACAUUUUCCCAAGGGAGAACUAUGAGGAAAAAGAGAUUGUAUCUAGCUAGGUGACUAGGGUAGGUUCAGAGAGGAGGGAGUAAUUGAGCUGGAUCUCGAGGGUGUAUAGAAUUUGGCUAGCUAGGGAUGCAGGGAGAAGAGCAGGAGAGCUGGAAUUAUUUCCUACAAUUGGCCCAUGCCUAGAAAAUUUGGAGUCUCUGACAAAGAGAAAGGAAUACAAAUUCUACUAAUUUUGAAAGGCUCCGUUGAUUUAAAAUCAGCAAAUUAUAAUCGGCUUAUCCGAAGUGUUUUUAAUCGUGUUAAGAGUAGAGUGGUGCAUAAAUUAAUUAAAAGAAACACAUGGAGUUAAUUGGGUUCACACCUGUUAGCUGUGCAAUCUUUGGCAGGUUACUCAGCAGACCUAUACCUCAGUUCCCCUACCUGUAAAAACUGAGAUAAUGGUUAAAACGGUGCCUGGCAUAGAGUAAGCACGCAAUACAUUGCUGCCGUUAUUACUUGGAACCCGAGCCUGGGUUGAGUUUCAUUUUCUCUCUUGAGGUCUCUCUGCCCUUAGGGAGGUCCUGUCGGCUAAUCUGCAGACUGACCCCUGAAGUUCUAGGUCCGGGAUCUUGGCCUAUAGCCAUGAUCUGGACAUCCUGUACCGGGCAGAACUUUGAUUUGAAAGAUUACCAGGAAAAAGGAGCAAAUAUGUGUAUUCCAAAUCAUAUAUACACUGAAAGUCACUUUGCUUGAAGGAGACAGUUUUCCAGAUUUAGUCACAAGACUCAGAGCUGUUGCCACCUUCUAGAGCACAGGUGUGAGGCAGCUAGGCGUGGAUGUGCGAGUUCCUGGUUUGUUUUUUUUUUUUUCUUCAGCUGAUACAAAGAAAGUCUGAUCGCUUGGCGCUGAUGCCUAACAAUAGACAGCAGCUGUGCAACAAUUGCUGGGUGGGACCCCGUGUAUUUAAAUCAGGGAGGUUGCAUUGUGGGAGAGGAGCUGAAGCAGUUGCUGCGGCUGGCGGUCCGGCUUUAGGAAGACCAGACCAUUGACUGAGAGACGUGAAAAGCGUUUGCGGCUAUUGAUCAUUGAGGUUCCACGAGGAAAAUGCAAGUCUUUCGAAUUCACGUAAAAGAACCCUGCCCCUGGUUUUUGAUUGAUUCAGGUCUUCGCUUCUGCAUUGACCUCACUUCCUUGAUUAGCAACUGUUUGAACCAGGCUUUGAAACUCUGGGGAUGUCUAAGAGGCUAGAGGAAGCCUAACAAAGGAGAAAAAGAGGGGGGAGGGGGCACCGGAAGGAUCUCUACCUGGAUGAGCCCCCACAGGGUCCUGCUUGGUUUCAUGUUUACUUGAGCUAGUGCCACUCAGCAAAAGCAAUUGAAUACAAAGGUCACAGUUAGAUCCAGUAGGGAGUCAGAUUUUGCUCUUUCCAAUUACAUGAUGAAUUUCUGCAGUGGACUAGGUAUGGUCAUAAGCUCUGGAGAAACCGGAUAUUCCCUGUUUUCCGGAAUCGUCCCUUCUGGUUGGGGAGGAAAUGAUGCAUAACAGAUGUAUGAGGUGGCAUAUGGCUACCAACGUAGGGUUAUUGAGGAUUGCGUUUUCUUCAACUCUGCGCCCCCAGUGCCUGCUUGACAAAUAGUAAGAGGUAAAGAUACCUUUUGUGGAUCGACAAGAGGGCAAUUUCACACAACUCUGCUGGAGUCCAGAGAGUGUGUAAAGUCCAGCCCUUGAAGCAAAUGAAAGCCGUCAUAGUCUCUUCUGCAUGUGGAAAGUAACGGAAGGUCCUUUCUGUCAAAGGAAAUCUUGGUGACUCCAUUUUGCUCUGGUUUCGCCUUCCUGUGAUCCCCAACCCUCCCCUUUCCCUCUUCUCCCAUUAACAAUGUGUUUCAUAUUAGCCAAUGGGGAAGAGUGUGCGCCCUGACCUGACCCAUGGGAAGGGGACAGGUACAUCACCUGCGUUAGGGAUAAAUAGGGGAGGGUCCUUUGUUCGCGCCCUUCUGCAGAAGUAAAGAGCCUUGUCGAGAUUUCUCCUUGUCCACGUGUCUCACUUUCUGACACUGACGACCCGAGCCCAGAGUUACUGUAAUUUCCAACAUGCAUCAAGGUCCUCUCACCUCUGAAUGAGAGAAUGAGUCUGUCUUUGGAUGCUGCUGACCCCCCACCCCCGCAUUCUGGUCAUUUCCUUACAUGGUCAGGAUCUGUGCUCAGCGGAGGUCUUUAAGAUCCAUUCUAAGUACUAUUAGAGCUUGGCUGCGAUAAACAGGUGAGGCAGUGCUGCUGUAGAAUUCCCAGAAAACACCUCAGAGGACACCCAAGGAAGAUGGAGAACAGCUUUGUUUACACCGGCGGGUCCACGGGGAAUCGCUUCCCCAUCAUGGACCCCGGACAGAAAGGGGGAGAUACAUUUAUAGUGCUUGCUUACGUGUCUAACAUGCCACAUGAAUCUUUAGUAACAUGCAGGAUACAGAAAGAUGUAUAGCUGUACAGAAUGCCUUGCUUGUUACUUUAAUUGUUAAUCUCAAGUACAAUCUAGCUAUUUUUGAAUUUCUUCAGAACAAUCGGGACCCAGAGUUUCUGAAGUCCUAAUGACUUUGUUUUUCUCAGAGCCCUUGUAUGAGUCACCUUAAGUUCACCAAGAUGGACGGUGGCAGCAAAAUGGCUUCACUCCUGUCAAGCUCCCUAUUCCCUUUUCCACACCCCUGCAGGGCUAGGACCCUUAUAUCCCCGUGGCUUCCAAUUUUACUUAGGACCAGAAGUGCCUCACUGCUUUCCUCAAGAAACGCCAAAUCAAGGGAACAAGUACAGCUGGCCCUAAUUUGCUCAGAAGUCGAAGAUGGGCUAUGUGAGUCAGGGAUGAGGUGUGGGGGAAGAAAUGACAACAAGUAGAGAUGGAGUUGAUCGAGGCAACGGGUUUUGAGAAAUCUUGGCCAGCAAAGCUGGUUUUUGUUAGUAGGAAAGCAGAAUCGUUGGAUGAGUUGGCUGGGUUGGAAUAUCGGGGAGCAUUUUGUCCCCUCUCAUUCCUAGUCAGGAGGAACAUUUGCUCAGUUUGCUUUCUAUAACAUACAAACCAACCACUGGCAACAUGUACAAAGUCAGGAAGACUUGCCUUGACUAGUCUCAUGUUUCACUGCCUUCCUAGCAUACUUCCUCCUUUUAUACCCCUGGUCUGUCCCUUCUUUUUUCCUCCCCUCCUGGAUUCCCAGGGCCCACAGCCUUUUUUCCCUGUCCCACCUCUGUUAAAUCCUCCAGGAGAGCGCAGAAAACUGUCACGAAGGGAGAAUGACUGAUGCCAGCUCCAAGAGCCUCUGUACAGAAGGGGACUGAUUUGGUUAAUGGGGUAAAUCUAUAUGAGUUUUUUGGCAUCUUGUAGUUGAGGGGGCGGGUGGGGUGUAUGAUGGGGGCAAUUUGGUUUCUUUACUGAUGCACCCUGAGUUUGAAUCUCAACAGGCACAUGGACUCUCUGCCAAGAGCAUAGGCUUGGAAAUCAGACCGAUUCCUCGCUUAAUAGUUGUGUGGUUUUAUUUUUUAUUUUAUUUUUUUGUCUUUUCUAGGGCUGCUCCUGUGGCAUAUGGAGGUUCCCAAGCUAGGGGUCAAA